UGUGGACCGCAGUAAGUGCAUGUUUCAGGUGCUGUCCGGCUCUGUGGACCGUGGUAAGUGCAUGUUCCAGGUGCUGUCUGGCUAUGUGGACCACAGUAAGUGCGUGUUUCACUAAGUGCGUGUUUCAGGUGCUGUCCGGCUCUGUGGACCGCAGUAAGUGCGUGUUUCAGGUGCUGUCCGGCUCUGUGGACCACAGUAAGUGCGUGUUUCAGGUGCUGUCCGGCU